UAACGCGUGAGAAUCUAGCUCUAGGUCGGGGACAACCACUGGAAACGGUGGCUAAUACCGGAUGUGCCGGGAGGUAAAAGAUUUAUUGCCUAGAGAUGAGCUCGCGUCUGAUUAGCUAGUUGGUGUGGUAAGAGCGCACCAAGGCGACGAUCAGUAGCUGGUCUGAGAGGAUGAUCAGCCACACUGGGACUGAGACACGGCCCAGACUCCUACGGGAGGCAGCAGUGGGGAAUUUUCCGCAAUGGGCGAAAGCCUGACGGAGCAAUACCGCGUGAGGGAGGAAGGCUCUUGGGUUGUAAACCUCUUUUCUCAAGGAAUAAGAACUGAAGGUACUUGAGGAAUAAGCAUCGGCUAACUCCGUGCCAGCAGCCGCGGUAAUACGGAGGAUGCAAGCGUUAUCCGGAAUGAUUGGGCGUAAAGGGUCCGCAGGUGGCAUUGUGUGUCUGCUGUUAAAGAGUGAGGCUCAACCUCAUAAAAGCAGUGGAAACUACAAAGCUAGAGUGCGUUCGGGGUAGCAGGAAUUCCUGGUGUAGCGGUGAAAUGCGUAGAGAUCAGGAAGAACACCGGGGCGAAA
rnacentral:rRNA from 1 species